AGGUUGGUGACUCAAUGUUGGAAAACGCGUGUUUUUAAACCGCAGAUGCGCGGGUUCAAAUCCCCACCAAUUAG
rnacentral:tRNA from 1 species